rnacentral:rRNA from 1 species
CAGUAAAGUGGCGCACGGGUGAGUAACGCGUGGAUAAUCUGCCUUCAAGUAGGGAAUAACAUUGCGAAAGCGAUGCUAAUACCGUAUAAGCUCACGAUUUGCUUAGUUGUGAGAAAAGAUGGCCUCUGUAUAUGCUAUCGCUUGAAGAUGAGUCCGCGUACCAUUAGCUUGUUGGUAGGGUAAUGGCCUACCAAGGCUUCGAUGGUUAGCUGGCCUGAGAGGGCGUUUUUUCACACUGGAACUGAGACACGGUCCAGACUCCUACGGGAGGCAGCAGUGGGGAAUAUUGCGCAAUGGGGGAAACCCUGACGCAGCGACGCCGUGUGAGUGAUGAAGGUUUUCGGAUCGUAAAGCUCUGUCGGGUGGAAAGAAUAAGGGCUGUGUAAAUAAUGCAGUCCGAUGACGGUACCACCAAAGGAAGCACCGGCUAACUCCGUG